GACGAACGCUGGCGGCGUGCCUAAUACAUGCAAGUAGAACGCUGAAGGAGGAGCUUGCUUCUCUGGAUGAGUUGCGAACGGGUGAGUAACGCGUAGGUAACCUGCCUGGUAGCGGGGGAUAACUAUUGGAAACGAUAGCUAAUACCGCAUAACAGUAGAUAUCGCAUGAUAUCUACUUGAAAGGUGCAAUUGCAUCACUACCAGAUGGACCUGCGUUGUAUUAGCUAGUUGGUGAGGUAACGGCUCACCAAGGCGACGAUACAUAGCCGACCUGAGAGGGGGAACGGCCACACUGGGACUGAGACACGGCCCAGACUCCCUCGGGAGGCAGCAGGAGGGGAUCUUCGGCAAUGGACGGAAGUCUGACCGGGCAACGCCGCGGGAGUGAAGAAGGGUCUCGGAUCGUAAAGCUCUGUUGUAAGGGAAGAACGAGUGGGAGAGUGGAAAGUUCACACUGUGACGGUAUCUUACCAGAAAGGGACGGCUAACUACGUG
rnacentral:rRNA from 1 species